rnacentral:rRNA from 1 species
UUAAGUUAUUAAGGGCGCACGGUGGAUGCCUUGGCACUAGAAGCCGAUGAAGGACGUUACUAACGACGAUAUGCUUUGGGGAGCUGUAAGUAAGCUUUGAUCCAGAGAUUUCCGAAUGGGGAAACCCAGCAUGAGUUAUGUCAUGUUAUCGAUAUGUGAAUACAUAGCAUAUCAGAAGGCACACCCGGAGAACUGAAACAUCUUAGUACCCGGAGGAAGAAAAAGAAAAUUCGAUUCCCUUAGUAGCGGCGAGCGAAACGGGAAGAGCCCAAACCAACAAGCUUGCUUGUUGGGGUUGUAGGACACUCUAUACGGAGUUACAAAGGACGACAUUAGACGAAUCAUCUGGAAAGAUGAAUCAAAGAAGGUAAUAAUCCUGUAGUCGAAAAUGUUGUCUCUCUUGAGUGGAUCCUGAGUACGACGGAACACGUGAAAUUCCGUCGGAAUCUGGGAGGACCAUCUCCUAAGGCUAAAUACUCUCUAGUGACCGAUAGUGAACCAGUACCGUGAGGGAAAGGUGAAAAGCACCCCGGAAGGGGAGUGAAAUAGAACCUGAAACCGUGUGCUUACAAGUAGUCAGAGCCCGUUAAUGGGUGAUGGCGUGCCUUUUGUAGAAUGAACCGGCGAGUUACGAUUUGAUGCAAGGUUAAGCAGUAAAUGUGGAGCCGUAGCGAAAGCGAGUCUGAAUAGGGCGUUUAGUAUUUGGUCGUAGACCCGAAACCAGGUGAUCUACCCUUGGUCAGGUUGAAGUUCAGGUAACACUGAAUGGAGGACCGAACCGACUUACGUUGAAAAGUGAGCGGAUGAACUGAGGGUAGCGGAGAAAUUCCAAUCGAACCUGGAGAUAGCUGGUUCUCUCCGAAAUAGCUUUAGGGCUAGCCUCAAGUGAUGAUUAUUGGAGGUAGAGCACUGUUUGGACGAGGGGCCCCUCUCGGGUUACCGAAUUCAGACAAACUCCGAAUGCCAAUUAAUUUAACUUGGGAGUCAGAACAUGGGUGAUAAGGUCCGUGUUCGAAAGGGAAACAGCCCAGACCACCAGCUAAGGUCCCAAAAUAUAUGUUAAGUGGAAAAGGAUGUGGCGUUGCCCAGACAACUAGGAUGUUGGCUUAGAAGCAGCCAUCAUUUAAAGAGUGCGUAAUAGCUCACUAGUCGAGUGACACUGCGCCGAAAAUGUACCGGGGCUAAACAUAUUACCGAAGCUGUGGAUUGUCCUUUGGACAAUGGUAGGAGAGCGUUCUAAGGGCGUUGAAGCAUGAUCGUAAGGACAUGUGGAGCGCUUAGAAGUGAGAAUGCCGGUGUGAGUAGCGAAAGACGGGUGAGAAUCCCGUCCACCGAUUGACUAAGGUUUCCAGAGGAAGGCUCGUCCGCUCUGGGUUAGUCGGGUCCUAAGCUGAGGCCGACAGGCGUAGGCGAUGGAUAACAGGUUGAUAUUCCUGUACCACCUAUAAUCGUUUUAAUCGAUGGGGGGACGCAGUAGGAUAGGCGAAGCGUGCGAUUGGAUUGCACGUCUAAGCAGUAAGGCUGAGUAUUAGGCAAAUCCGGUACUCGUUAAGGCUGAGCUGUGAUGGGGAGAAGACAUUGAGUCUUCGAGUCGUUGAUUUCACACUGCCGAGAAAAGCCUCUAGAUAGAAAAUAGGUGCCCGUACCGCAAACCGACACAGGUAGUCAAGAUGAGAAUUCUAAGGUGAGCGAGCGAACUCUCGUUAAGGAACUCGGCAAAAUGACCCCGUAACUUCGGGAGAAGGGGUGCUCUUUAGGGUUAACGCCCAGAAGAGCCGCAGUGAAUAGGCCCAAGCGACUGUUUAUCAAAAACACAGGUCUCUGCUAAACCGUAAGGUGAUGUAUAGGGGCUGACGCCUGCCCGGUGCUGGAAGGUUAAGAGGAGUGGUUAGCUUCUGCGAAGCUACGAAUCGAAGCCCCAGUAAAACGGCGGCCGUAACUAUAACGGUCCUAAGGUAGCGAAAUUCCUUGUCGGGUAAGUUCCGACCCGCACGAAAGGCGUAACGAUUUGGGCACUGUCUCAACGAGAGACUCGGUGAAAUCAUAGUACCUGUGAAGAUGCAGGUUACCCGCGACAGGACGGAAAGACCCCGUGGAGCUUUACUGUAGCCUGAUAUUGAAAUUCGGCACAGCUUGUACAGGAUAGGUAGGAGCCUUUGAAACGUGAGCGCUAGCUUACGUGGAGGCGCUGGUGGGAUACUACCCUAGCUGUGUUGGCUUUCUAACCCGCACCACUUAUCGUGGUGGGAGACAGUGUCAGGCGGGCAGUUUGACUGGGGCGGUCGCCUCCUAAAAGGUAACGGAGGCGCUCAAAGGUUCCCUCAGAAUGGUUGGAAAUCAUUCAUAGAGUGUAAAGGCAUAAGGGAGCUUGACUGCGAGACCUACAAGUCGAGCAGGGUCGAAAGACGGACUUAGUGAUCCGGUGGUUCCGCAUGGAAGGGCCAUCGCUCAACGGAUAAAAGCUACCCCGGGGAUAACAGGCUUAUCUCCCCCAAGAGUUCACAUCGACGGGGAGGUUUGGCACCUCGAUGUCGGCUCAUCGCAUCCUGGGGCUGUAGUCGGUCCCAAGGGUUGGGCUGUUCGCCCAUUAAAGCGGUACGCGAGCUGGGUUCAGAACGUCGUGAGACAGUUCGGUCCCUAUCCGUCGUGGGCGUAGGAAAUUUGAGAGGAGCUGUCCUUAGUACGAGAGGACCGGGAUGGACAUACCUCUGGUGUACCAGUUGUCGUGCCAACGGCAUAGCUGGGUAGCUAUGUGUGGACGGGAUAAGUGCUGAAAGCAUCUAAGCAUGAAGCCCCCCUCAAGAUGAGAUUUCCCAACUUCGGUUAUAAGAUCCCUCAAAGAUGAUGAGGUUAAUAGGUUCGAGGUGGAAGCAUGGUGACAUGUGGAGCUGACGAAUACUAAUCGAUCGAAGACUUAAUCAA